UACGUAGGGAGCAAGCGUUGUCCGGAUUUAUUGGGCGUAAAGAGCUCGUAGGCGGCUUAGCAAGUCAAGUGUGAAACCUCCAGGCUUAACCUGGAGACGCCACUUGAUACUGCUAUGGCUUGAGUUUGGUAGGGGAAGACGGAAUUCCUGGUGUAGCGGUGAAAUGCGCAGAUAUCAGAGAGGAACACCGAUGGCGAAGGCAGUCUUCUGGGCCAAAACUGACGCUGAGGAGCGAAAGCGUGGGGAGCGAACAGG
rnacentral:rRNA from 1 species